ACGAACGCUGGCGGCAUGCCUAACACAUGCAAGUCGCACGAGACCUUCGGGUCUAGUGGCGCACGGGUGCGUAACGCGUGGGAACCUGCCCUUAGGUUCGGAAUAACUCCCCGAAAGGGGUGCUAAUACCGGAUAAUGUCUUCGGACCAAAGAUUUAUCGCCUUUGGAUGGGCCCGCGUUGGAUUAGCUAGUUGGUAGGGUAAAAGCCUACCAAGGCGACGAUCCAUAGCUGGUCUGAGAGGAUGAUCAGCCACACUGGGACUGAGACACGGCCCAGACUCCUACGGGAGGCAGCAGUGGGGAAUAUUGGACAAUGGGCGAAAGCCUGAUCCAGCAAUGCCCCGUGAGUGAUGAAGGCCUUAGGGUUGUAAAGCUCUUUUACCCGGGAUGAUAAUGACAGUACCGGGAGAAUAAGCUCCGGCUAACUCCGUG
rnacentral:rRNA from 1 species